GGUUAAGCGACUAAGCGUACACGGUGGAUGCCCUGGCAGUCAGAGGCGAUGAAGGACGUGCUAAUCUGCGAAAAGCGUCGGUAAGGUGAUAUGAACCGUUAUAGCCGGCGAUGUCCGAAUGGGGAAACCCAGUGCAAUUCGUUGCACUAUCGUUAACUGAAUACAUAGGUUAACGAGGCGAACCGGGGGAACUGAAACAUCUAAG
rnacentral:rRNA from 1 species